rnacentral:ncRNA from 1 species
ACCGCUGUGUUUAUGCAUAUUAUUCAGCGGAGGAAAAGAAAAUAGCAAUGCUUCCUCUGGUAACAGCCAGCGUUGCGGGAAGAGCCUAAAUUGAAAAUCGUGAGUCCCGUUUUGCCCUCACGAAUUGUAGCCUCUAGAGGCGUGGCCAGUCGGAUGGCAUAUCUACGUUUCUUGUAACAAUACUUCAGAGGCUGUGACAGUCCCCUGCUCGUUAUUUCCCACUUGCGGGACUCUUUUCCUGAGUCGGAUUCAUCGGGAUUUGAGCACAAAAUGUGUGGUAACUUUCACAUAAAACUAAAUACUGGCAUGAGACGGAUGCCAUUGCAGAUAAGAGUGACU